rnacentral:tRNA from 1 species
GACUCCGUAGCUCAGUCGGUUAGAGCGCCGGUCUUGUAAACUGGAGGUCGAAUGUUCGAAUCACUCUGGAUCCU